rnacentral:lncRNA from 1 species
CGCCGUGGCUUAGUUGGUUAAAGCGCCUGUCUAGUAAACAGGAGAUCCUGGGUUCGAAUCCCAGCGGUGCCUGAGUGCUACCUUUUCUUCUUUUUUGCACGACCCUUUUUGUUUUGCGAGCCCUCUCACAGAACCGUUCCUCUGUCAGCGCGGAAGACAUUUUAGCGGAAGACGUUGUGUUCCCUGCUAGCCUUUGCCUCCUUGAGGUCGGCCAAAUCGCUGUCCCCUGAGUGCUUCCACAGGGGUGACAAGUCUCCACAGCCUCUUGGCUUCGCUGAGCAUUGCUCUUGGCUUCGCUGAGCACUGCAAAGCAUGCUGAUUUUUCCUCCCGGAAUCCGCGCAGUGGGUAGCAACAAUCUGCAUACUGAGAACAGCUUGGCGAGGCUGAGUAAAGUCCCAAAAUGGAGGUCUGUAGCAUCAAAUCCGAUCGUCAAUCUACAUCUACAGCAUGCAUAAAAAUCCAAAUGGCUAGGUGCUCCCGUGUGGGGCCCGAUUCUAAGGCCUGGGCUGUGGUUGCCAAGAGCACAGGCACAUGGGAACCCCUUGAGAGCAUUUGCGACCAGGGCUUUGGAAGGUGGGGGAGACUUUGAAGUUUUAAAGAAUGUUCCCCAGGGAUACACCUAAAUCCAAACAAAACACACAAUGAUAAACCCAGCGAGCUUUAGAAAAUGCAGGAGCCACGUGAGGCGGUGUUCCUAAUGCAGAUAUUUUGACUCACAAUUGAAGUUACAACCUUAUAAACCAUUUAAAACCAUCUUAAGGACUGGCGAGACGGCUCAGUGGAUAAAUGUCCUUGUUGCUAACCCUGGACGUCCUGAGUUCAAUUCCUGGGUCUAACAGGGUGGAAGAUGAGAACUGACCCUCGAAAACUGUCCUCCGGCCUGUGGGUCCACAUGUACGCCGCGGCUCACGUAUGAGCACAAAUGUGUUCACAACAAAUAGGUCUUCCUGCCUCAGAGACUUUGAAUUUAGGGUGGUGGGGGCUCGGAAUGCUGUUUCCCGGGUAGUCUGUGGGGAAACCCAUCCCAUCAGAGAUCUUUCAGUCAGUGUGUCAUCUCUCUGGAAGAACUCCUGUUACCAUCUUUGGCUCAGCCUCUCCAAGGCCCCCAACGCAGCCUCUUGUUUGUCACCCACAACAGCACAUCACUAACCGUAAGAACUUUGUAAAAAGGUAAAACAAUGUUUUACUUCCAACUGAUUUUUGGUUUAUGUUGUAAAUAGUUUUUGUAAAAGUGUUGUUUGUGUCAACAUGUAUUUGGUUUAUCACGGUUAGUUUUUAAAUCAAUACUUUUUUUUUUCCUUUCAGAUUUAACUUCUAGUGCCUUGAGUUUUAACUUUGCCAUGAUGAUAAUGGAAUGAUGCUCUGAAACUAUAAGCCACCCCAAUUAAAUGCCUUCCUUUAUAAGAGUUGCCUCUUUUCACAGCAAAGGAAACCCUAAUGAAGACAAAAUUUGGUACCAGGAGUGGGGUAUUGCUGUGCGAGGCCUGACGAUGCUUUUGUUUGGAGGAAUGUGGAUUUGGGAACUUUGGAUUAGGAAAGCAGUUGAACUUUUUAAGUGGGGCUUAAUGCACCAUCCUAGAAGGAGCAUGGAAGACAGGUGCGCUGAGAAUGAUUUGAAUUUGGGGGCCUGGCUCAAGAGGUUUCAGAGAAGAAUUUUAGUAUGUGGUCUAGAGACUGUUAUUAUGAUAUCUUGUCAAAGAAUAUAGCUGCCUUUUCUCCUUUUCUGAAAAGUCUGCCUGAGGCUAAACUGAAGAGUUUUGGUUAGUUAAGUUGGCAGAGGAAAUUUCAAAACAUCCUAGUCUUGACUCUGUCCUGUGGUUAUUACUGUUCACUCUUAUGAAGAUCUGUAAUGAAAAAGAGCAAGCUGAGCAAAGACAGCUACAAAAUGUGCAGUAUGUGGGGAAGAGAGGAACCAGGAAGUGGAACGAAGUGAAGUCCUACGCUUAAGGAGAUAAACAGAGUAAAGAAAAACCUGAUGUUAAAUGAAAUAAAGGCAAGGCCCCACCCAACUAUGCUUCCAACCUGCAAAAAGGAACUAAAGAGCUAGUUUCAGAACAGCCAAGUUUAGGCAGCAAAGGAAACCAUUGAAAACAGAAAGUUGGAGAAGAUGUAAUUGAAUGAAGGGGUUGGGGCAUGUUCCAGCCCCAGCAAGCAGCAGAACUUGCCAGCUUCAGCCACAUGGUUCUGGCUUUAGAAUCAAGGAUAGAAGAAGUGGUUAUAGAAUCUCUGUGACUAAGGAAAGCCUCUGAGGCCAGGCACAUGUCAGGGGUGGCCUGUCAUGGAGGCCCAGAGAGGCCACUGUGUGAAGCUGUAAAGAUGAAGCCUGGAUUGCCUUGGAGACCCCAAGAUAUUGGAGAUGCCAGAGUCAUGUGAUACCUGCCAAGGAGAGCUGCUAACAGGGUAUGGAACCAGCCUAAGAGAGAGACGCAUGUUGCAGUCAACAAAGCUGAAAGGAGUUGGGGAUCUGAAGACAUCAGACAUGGAGAUGCAGAUUUUGGAGUGUGCCCAGCUGGUUUUCAGUCUUGCUUUGGUCCAGUGUUUCCUCACAGUGCUCCCUCUAUGGGGACUUCUGCAGUUGGACUAAACACAUUUUGCAUUAUAAUAUGGAUACACACACAUGCACAGACACACACAUGCACAGACACACACAUACACAGACACACACACACAUAUAUAUAUAUGUACAUAUAUAUACAUAUGUAUAACCUAUAUAUCAGGAAGUGUAAUGUAGUAGUUUGAAUAAAACUGGCCCCCAUAGGCACAUAGUGACACUAUUAGGAGGUGUGGCCUUGUUGGAGGAAGCAUGUCUCAGUUUCUCCUUGCUGCCUGCUGAUCUGGAUGUUGAACUCUCAGCUCCUUCUCCAGCACCAUGUCUGCCUGUUCACUGAUCUGUUCCCCGCCAUGACGAUAUUGGACUAAACCCCUGAAACAGCAAGCCAGCCCCAAUGAAAUGUUCUCCUUUAUAAGAGUUGCCAUGGUUACAGUGUCUCUUCACAACAACAAAAUCCAAACUAAGAUAGUAAUUUUAAAAAGAUUUUAAAAGAUUUUAAAAAGAUUUUCAUGUUUGUGAGUGCCUGUAUUUUGUUAUCCAUGUGUAUGCAGUACCCAUGGAGGCCAGAAGAGGGGGCCAGUGUGGUGAAAAUGGAACCCUGAUCCUCUGCAGGAGCAGCAACUGCUUUUAACUACCGAACCAUCUUUCCAG